CUUUAUGAUGAUAUCAUAUGUAUUCGCUGUGUUCUUUCGGAAUCAUCAUGUCGAACAUACAUCACCUUGGAGAACUGAUAG
rnacentral:snoRNA from 1 species